CUCACCAGGAGAAAGGGCGGGAUUACCAACUGCGCUAGGCGAUUGGCUGUUUUGACCCAGAGAAGGGACCGGUGGCCAAUGGAAAAGGAAAAAGGGUUUUUCAUUUCUCACAACCAGACGGCGCCACCUGGACCUGCCAACCAGUUCUGUGCCCCCACCCAGGAAUUGACUCAGCAUUAGACAACAGCUUCGACUCCCUAUGAGUUCAUCCCCAAGCCAACCAAUCAGCACUCCUGAUUCACUGGCCCCCUACCCACCAAAUUAUCCUUAAAAACUCUGAUCCCUGAGUUUUCAGGGAAACUGAUUUGAGUAAUAAUAAAACUCCAGUCUCCCGCACA
rnacentral:lncRNA from 10 species